UACAGAGGUCUCAAGCGUUGUUCGGAUUCAUUGGGGCGUAAAGGGUGCGUAGGUGGCAGGGUAAGUCGGAUGUGAAAAUCCCGGGGCUCAACCUCGGAACUGCAUUCGAUACUGCUUUGCUGGAGUACUGGAGAGGAGAUUGGAAUUUACGGUGUAGCAGUGAAAUGCGUAGAUAUCGUAAGGAAGACCAGUGGCGAAGGCGGAUCUCUGGACAGUUACUGACACUGAGGCACGAAGGCCAAGGGGAGCAAACAGG
rnacentral:rRNA from 1 species